UCACAAGGCCGGCCCAACUCGGCGGGUUGAGAAACAGCCUUCACCUCUCAUCGAGAGGGAUUUAAAGAAUUGUGGCCAUUUCUGCAAUCUCCCACAGUAUCUGAAAGAUCAUGGCAAGGCUUGGGAUACAAGCACCCCCCUGAGAUUAUUCUGGACAACUCUACAAAGCCACCAAGUAACAGCUGUACCACAGCCAGUGUCCUCUCAGUUAAUAUCAGCCCAAAGCCUCCGGACGAUGCUAAGGUGAACCGAUCCCAUGGCUUCUCCCACCUCAUUGGAAGGCCCUGCCAGGGAAGCAGACAGUGACCAGGUUUCUAAGGUGCCCUACAGCGUCAUUUAAAAAUGGAUCUAUCACACUUAACUUUUUAUUUAAGCAGACAAUGAGAUGGUGAUUGUCAGGGUGUGGGAAGAGGGGAAAGGGGAGUUAGCUGUUUAGCGGGUAUA